GAACAUAACAUGCAUUUGGCCUAAGACACAAUUAAGAUAUUUAUAAAAAUUUGUCAAUAUUUUAUCAACUUUUUUUCUUUUUCAUUUACUUUUUUAUUUUCCUAUUUUAAGGUUUCUUUCUUGUCUACACACAUUUAAAGGAACAAAAAUAAGAAAAAAUUUACAUCAAAAUAAGCAAAAUGACUGAAGUCUCAGCCAAGAUUGACUUAUGUCAGAACUGUUACUUUGACAUGAGAAAACGAGACCAUAGAUUUGAAGAAGUGAAACAGUACUUCAAGAAAGAGCAACACAAGAUUGAGCAAAGCUAUUACUGUCCUUAUGAAAAACAAAGGUUGGUGGUUUCUUUAAUGUUUUAAAAGUUAAAUAAUACACAGUAUUAAAAUAAAAUGUUUUCUCAAGUUCUUUCA
ensembl:lncRNA